GAACUUGCAACAAUGGUUCACGCACAAGCUCCGAGGCUAACAUGGUUAUUUCUUCAAUAUUUAAUGAACCCGCUUAGUUAUUUUACAUACGGUUAACAUACACUUCAUUAAAGAGCUUGUAUGAUGUGGUGUUGGUUGUUGACGUGAACACUUAUACCAACAAUUAAACAUACGGAUUGUUGGAGAUGCUCUGAUUGUAACGUCCAACGGUUUUGCGCCCGAGACAGUGUUCAUACGAUCGGACGACGUAGGGACAAUUUCCAGAGAGAGGUCGAACGGAAAUUAGGCCCCUCACGGUUUUGGUGCCCCAUGCGAUCGCCCAUGUCACAGGUCCUCAUCGAUGGGCCGGAGUAGUAUCAUGACCUUCAGAACAUCCAAGCAGCUGGCUUGUGUUCUUCAUCAACGUCGCCCACUUGAUAUGCUUGUAACUUAUAAGGUUUUACCGAGGCCUCCUAAUCUCAGAGUUUGCUCUACAAGGUCUAAAGGCAUGAUGUUUGUAUACCGUUAAUCUCGCCGCUAUCGCUACUCUCUAUAUGCACAAAGGAAGCUACAUUGAUUUUUAUGUUCAACUUGACAGCUUUUAUAGACUGGCUACGAUCCAUGAAUCCAUGUGCGCGCAGCUGCACAAUGCGGUACUAAAUAAGGAUGUACAAGAGGUGUGAGAACGUGCCCAUGUAUUGCUAGCCUCUUGAAUGGUUGCUUCUGAAUUGGGUUUUUCAGGUGGACACUCCCAUUAUGAAAACCAUGAGCCAGUUUCUAUUAAACUCUACUGAUGUACGCAUAUGUACGCUUACGAAGAAGGGAACCAAGUUGCUACUCUUUAGGCAAGUUCACGGGGAAUAUCAUCAAAACAGGAAAUAUUCUCCAUGACUAAACAUCUCAAAUGUAGGACUUUGCAUAAACAUACCAAAACUGUGACGUUCCUUGGCAUUGAUCGUGUGAUCAUUCGGUGUCCUUUUUACAUUAUAAAGAAAACCAGAUGAUCACGCAAUACAUCAUACUCAUAGUAAUGUCCUUGCGUUGUCAUAGAAUAAAAAAAAAUACAGACCCAAAUAUUUGUCGUUCAACAAAUAUUGAAUCUCUCCCACUUUAUUGGUCCUUAGAAAUCACCAUGUCUUCUUGACUACCCUCUCCUGGGAAGAAAAACUAACCCCUAACCAGGGGCGG
rnacentral:lncRNA from 1 species